CCUACGGGUGGCUGCAGUGGGGAAUAUUGGACAAUGGGGGCAACCCUGAUCCAGCCAUGCCGCGUGUGUGAAGAAGGCCCUCGGGUUGUAAAGCACUUUCAGUGAGGAAGAACGCCUGGUGGUUAAUACCCAUCAGGAAAGACAUCACUCACAGAAGAAGCACCGGCUAACUCCGUGCCAGCAGCCGCGGUAAUACGGAGGGUGCGAGCGUUAAUCGGAAUUACUGGGCGUAAAGCGCGCGUAGGUGGCUUGAUAAGCCGGUUGUGAAAGCCCCGGGCUCAACCUGGGAACGGCAUCCGGAACUGUCAAGCUAGAGUGCAGGAGAGGAAGGUAGAAUUCCCGGUGUAGCGGUGAAAUGCGUAGAGAUCGGGAGGAAUACCAGUGGCGAAGGCGGCCUUCUGGACUGACACUGACACUGAGGUGCGAAAGCGUGGGUAACAAACAGGAUUAGAUACCCCUGUAGUC
rnacentral:rRNA from 1 species